rnacentral:ncRNA from 1 species
UUAUAAGCAAAAGACUGAAAAUGCCUAGAUGAGUAUAUACUACUCCAUAAACACAAAGGUUUGGUCCUAGCCCUUCUAUUAGCCAUCAGUAGGAUUACACAUGCAAGUAUCAGCACCCCGGUGAAAACGCCCUUUUAAUCACCAGUGAUAAAAAGGAGCGGGUAUCAAGCACACUGUACAAGUAGCUAAAGACACCUCGCCUAGCCACACCCCCACGGGAUACAGCAGUGACAAAAAUUAAGCCAUGAACGAAAGUUUGACUAAGCCAUACUGACCCCAUAGGGUUGGUAAAUUUCGUGCCAGCCACCGCGGUCAUACGAUUAACCCAAGUUAAUAGAUAAACGGCGUAAAACGUGUUAAGGAAAUCAUCCACCCAAUAAAGUUAAAUCUUAGACUAUGCUGUAGAAAGCUUUAGCCCAGAUAAAAAUAAACCACGAAGGUGACUUUAAACAAUCCGAUCACACGAUAGCUAAGACACAAACUGGGAUUAGAUACCCCACUAUGCUUAGCCCUAAACCUAAGUAGCCUAAACAACGAUGCUACUCGCCAGAGUACUACUAGCAACAGCUUAAAACUCAAAGGACUUGGCGGUGCUUUACAUCCCUCUAGAGGAGCCUGUUCUGUAAUCGAUAAACCCCGAUAAACCUCACCAACUCUUGCUAAUACAGCCUAUAUACCGCCAUCUUCAGCAAACCCUAAAAAGGAAACAAAGUAAGCAAAACCAUGAAACAUAAAAACGUUAGGUCAAGGUGUAGCCUAUGAGUUGGAAAGAAAUGGGCUACAUUUUCUAGCAUAGAACAUCAACGAAAAUUUUCGUGAAACCGAAAAUAGAAGGAGGAUUUAGUAGUAAAUUAAGAAUAGAGAGCUUAAUUGAAUAAGGCCAUGAAGCACGCACACACCGCCCGUCACCCUCCUCGAGUAUAAAGAUACAAAUACUCAACCCUAUUAAUAAAUGUACACGCAUAUGAGAGGAGAUAAGUCGUAACAAGGUAAGCGUACUGGAAAGUGCGCUUGGAUAAAUCAAAGUGUAGCUUAUACAAAGCACCUGGCCUACACCCAGAAGAUUCCAUACAACAAUGGCCACUUUGAACAAAUGCUAGCCCACGCAAAUAUAAACUCAACUAACAACACAAAAUAAAACAAAACAUUUACCCUAACUAAAGUAUAGGAGAUAGAAAUUUUAACCGCCUUAGAGAAGUACAUC